GGAGAGGUGGCAGAGCGGUUGAAUGCACCUGAUUCGAAAUCAGACGUACCUGCGAGGGUACCGGGGGUUCGAAUCCCUCCCUCUCCG
rnacentral:tRNA from 1 species